rnacentral:lncRNA from 1 species
GCCAUUCUACUUCCCAGCUGGCUGGCUUCAGGACAGGAAUUCUUGGCUCUUUCUGAGAUAUGGUGGAUGAUAGCAGUCCCUUGGGGUAGAAGAAUGCUUCAAGCUUCAGACAAAUUUAAGCAUUCUCACUUGGAAGCACCUUAAAUCCUUGGUGUUCAGAUUUGACAACCGUAAAAAUGUUCGCUAAAGAGGUUUGCGGGGGAUUCCUUGAGCAGCACAAGAUUAUUUUUUUCCCAACAACUAAAAAUAUUUAGUAGACAAUGUCUUGCUCUGUUGUCCAGGUUGGAGUACAGUGGUGCUAACAUGGCUCACUGCAGCCUCAACCUUCCAGGUUCAAGCAAUCUCCCACCUCAGCCUCCCGAGUAGCUGGGACUACAGGCAUGCACUACCACACCCAGCACAAACACCCCUGGAAACACAUUCCUUGUGGUAACCUGAAACCUCCCAUUUGGGCAAGAUUCUGAUUGAUUUCAGCAGAACAAAGAGACAGUUGCAUCUCAUUUGAAACCCAGAUGAGGAGCUCCAUAUUUCAUUUUAAAUUGGGAGUGAUAAUGGUUGGGUGGUCAAUACUUCAAGAGAAGCGGGAAAAAAGCCCAACAAUAUUGAGUAGUGCUAGUGUACAGUGGCUAUUUUUCUGGGCUGGAACUGGUUAACUAAGAAUUGAAAAGUCACCCUCUGGUAGCCUGAACAGGAACCUGCAGUCUGCAAACACUUAUUCCCAUCAACACUGCUCCAAGGAGGUGCCGAAACGCUGGGUGCCUCAUUCUGAUCUUGCGUCUGUCCUGGUAUGAAUUAACAGAGGGGAACAGGAAGUGGAUCGACACUGUUCAUAAGUAAGGAGGCCGAGCAGGAGUGGGGGGUCCUUCUGCUUUCAAUCAAGAGAGAGGGCACAAUCUGAGGCGUCAUCAGUGCAUCUCAACCAUCGGUAAACCCAGGCUUCUGCAGGGAGCUGGGAUUCUUUAUGGAUGGAAUUACACACUUUGUGAGUGAAAAUUAUUUCUUGUAUAGAAUACCUAUUAGCUUACAGCAAAAAUGUGGGUGGAGGGAAACAAAUGGGACUGAUAAAUUUGGCAUUGGCCCCAAAAGAGAAAUCAUUAUCAUCAUCAUCAUCAUUCUUAUUAUUUAAUAGCAAUUUUUUUUCCAAUUGCCAAUUUGGAAGACCCAGAGAAAGAUACAAAAUCUUUCUCUGGAUACAAAACAUCUCAUGGAAAAAGAUACAAAAACAUCUCAUGGAGAUGUUUAGAAUCCAGGAACUUAGAAGCAAUUUACUCUGUGCCACUGGAUUGUUUGUCUUGUAAUAAGCGCUGCUAGCCUUGCUUCUAAUAUUAUUGACACUGAUCCUUGCUUUGUUGACAUCUUGGGUAGCUACUAUUAAGGGGUAGGAAAUAAUUUGCUUAAUUUCAAUUUACUAAUUCAAUAAGCUUCCCUGUUUACUUUGCUUGCACAACAUGUCUUUGAAAACCAGAUGGUUAAGCCACUUCCUACUCCAGGAAAGAUUUGUAUGUGGGCAUUUUGUCUGAAUCAGAGAAGAUAGAUUUGUCCCAGGGUGGAUGUGGUUAGAGGCAUUGCUGAAUAGGAGCAGAAGUAGAAAACUAGAAAACUGCCAACUUCCUCCCGAGUCACAUCCUCAAGCAUGGCAACAGGAUUCCAUUGGAAAUGAGUUUCAUUGGUAUCCCCCACCAAAAAACACUCAUAUAUAAAUGCAAGCACUAAAGCAGAAGACGUAUUACUUCUUGUUAUUUACCAUUUUAUUUAGACACAUCUCAGUUUCUCUCCUCUCGUGCAAAUCAAUGGAAAUUGCCUGUAUUUUAAGGAGCAUGUUGGAGAUGAGUUGUAUCUUGAAACCUCAUGUUUGUUGAGCAGUUUGAUAUUUUAGCAUUAGAGCCACAAAGACACUAAGCCACCUCAUUGCUAUAAAUCAGGUGUAUUUGAAACUGUAUUACUAUUUAUUAAACUACGGCAUUUAUGAAAAAGACCUAGCUUCUUUCCUCUAAAAAACAUAACACAGUCACUUAUUUAAAAACACAAUGUCCUUUGGGAGGCCGAGACGGGCGGAUCACGAGAUCAGGAGAUCGAUACCAUCCUAGCUAACAUGGUGAAACCCCGUCUCUACUAAAAAUACAAAAAAUUAGCUGGGCGUGGUGGCGGGCACCUUUAGUCCCAGCUACUAGGGAGGCUGAGGCAGGAGAAUGGUGUGAACCCGGGAGGCGGAGCUUGCAGCGAGCCGAGAUCGCGCCACUGCACUCCAGCCUGGGCGACAGAGCAAGACUCAUCUCAAAAAAAAAAAAAAACCACAAUGUCAUUGCCCACCGAAAUAUAGAAGAGGUCUGACUUCAUCAAGAUAAUUCUCCAAGGCCUACCAUAAUAUCCAUUUGAUGCAUAUAGGAAUUCAAUAAAUGUUUGACAAAUAAAUUAUUUGUGUAUACUGCUGCCACAACGUUCAACUGGCUCUGAUACUUCAUGUACUCACAAAAUACCUAACUCCUAUAGCUGUGUCUAUAUAGAGCCAAAACUGCAUUUAAAAGUUAUUCACACCAAUUCUUAUGCAUUUGCUGUUGUUGUUGUUGUUUUCUGAGACAGGGUCUUGCUCUGUCGUCCAGGCUGGAGUGCAAUGGCGCGAUCUCAGAGCACUGCAACCUCCGCCUCCCAGAUUCAAGCAAUUCUCCUGUCUCAGCCUCCAGAGUAGCUGGGAUUACAGGCGCUCGACACCACACGUGGCUAAUUUUUGUAUUUUUAGUAGAGACUGGGUUUCACCGUGUUGGCCAGGCUGGUCUCGAACUCCUGGCCUCAUGAUCCGCCCGCCUCGGCCUCCCAAAGUGCUGGGAUUACAGGUGUGAGCCACAGCACCCAGCCUUCUUAGGCAAUUUUUAAGCAAAACUGAUGGACUGUUUGUUCUUCAUCCAGCCCUCCGCCCCAGUUUUCAGGGUUUGUCUCUGUGUCUAUAAACAUAGGCCUGGGGCAGCAUUUCCCAUUAUUCACUUUUACAUUUUGUUUUAAUUUUUUUUUUUUUAAAGGAGAAUGUUUCUCUUGUAAUCCAAAUGAAGUCUGGUCAUUUCCAUUUCAAACUGAUCAUAACAGUAUGAUUGGAGAAGAAUAUCCAGGCAAAUUUUAUUUUACUUGCCAAAAGAUAAGUGCAAUGUAAAGAGGAAUUUUCUUGAUUCUGGGACCACAAAGAUGUGGGGGAGCUCUUGGAUGAAAGUCAUAAUCCAGCGGAUAAGGAUGAAGGAAUUUAAAGGUGAAUUUGGGGACUUUGGAAAUUUAAUACAGUGAUUUUGUAUCAGAUUUAAAUUCUUUCCAAAGCCACUGUGAAAUCAAGGUGGGGGAGGGGCUACUUACAGAAAGUUGAAUAUUAUUAAAACUAUAUAUAAAAGUAUUCACCAGCCCCUUUUGUUCUCUUAAUCAAUAUAAUUUUUUAAAUUCUCCGUAUUCAUAUUACAUACAUAAAUUCUCCAAAACACAUACUGCUAUUGUAUUUUAUUGAGCUACACGUUCUAACAGAUUAAAAAACAGUUGUGUCUGGUACUAAAGAAAAAAGUACAGGUAAGUGUGUAAAUUGCAAGGGUAAAGAGAGAUGUACUACAAUUUUGUAAAUCUACAGAUCUUGCACAAUUUGAGAAGCUAAAAUACCAAUAAAACUGAGAAUUGAGCCAGUUCUUUCAUGGCAAAGAAAAGCCAGAUAGAUGUACCAGGAAAUAAAUUCCUAAAUGAGCAGCUGAAUGGAUGGCUUUCAACGUGCAUGUUCUUCCAUGGCCUGGAAAGUUCUGUGCUUGGGGGAGUUUUGAAGACAUUCUUUUGCACUCCCAAUGGGAGAACCCAGAGCCAGAGAAAAUAAAGGAAUAUGGCUGCACAAAGUUACAGAUGAAGAGUGCUUCAUUUUCCAAGAGCUAAACAAUAUGGUAAUAUGUUUUUUCCCCAGCAUGUCCAAUUGGCAAUGGUAAUUUGUUCAGUGCUGGAAGACUGGUUGGUUUCCAUGAAGAGACCCCUCAGGAUGAAAUAUGGCCCUAAAUAACAAUCACGCUGGUUUUCCUAUAGCUUCUACCUUCUGGAGUCAUCUUUCUUAGCUGUAGCAACUCCAGUUGGAGAGCUAAUACAAUAAUUACCUAUUAAUAUAUUAAUUCUUAUAUAAUUAUAGCUAUUAAUCUACUAAUAGUUACUGUGGUUAAAAUUGCAUAGACUUCAGAGUCAAAUUGAGAUUUGAAUCCUGGC